CCGGGGCUGGCUUCCGCUUGUCUCCGCUCUGCUGCUUGUCGUGGGACUCGAUGCGGCCUUCGUGCGGAGGAUAAACCCAGGAUACGUCGGAAGAAAUGGUGGAGAAAUCCAGAUCGAGGGGUCAGGCUUCGCGGAGGACCAGUACUCCCAGUUCCAGCCCGAGUUGGGAAACUCCGUGACCUUCGUCAACGACUGGGACACGGUGCCCUGCAAGGUGAACGUCUACAAGACCAGCGCCACCAGAAUCAUCUGUACUGUCGGGGCACCACGGGUCGACAGCGGUCUGAGCAGCCAGUACUCGCUCAAACUAACCGUCGACGGCCAGGCGGUAUCAACCGGCGGACGUUCCA